GGCUGAGCUCCACUCCAGCCGCCAGCCUCCUCCCGACCAGCCCCGGCCCCAACUCUUGCAUCAAAUCGUCCCACGGAGCCCCUCGUGCUUCCCCACCGCCGGCGAGCCCUCCCCAUGUCGGAUUUUGGCCACCAAUGCCACAGCCACUCCUAGGUACCACAUUGCGUGCCUCAAGCUUUUUUCUAAGGUCUUGAGUUUCUGCAAAUCAGAUUCAGUAAAUGGCUCUUGACGUUUGAACCUUCUUCCAUCAUCACUUACAACCUGCAACAUGAAGUACGGUAAGCAAAUAUAUAUGUGAUUUACUACAGAAUUAGGAAGUGUUAAGUGCCUAGUUGAAAUCAAAAGAUCAAGAACGAUGGCUUCACAGCCCAAUUAGGCAUGGAGAAACUUACAAGUUUUGAUGAGGCUCGGAGAGUUGUAGCAAGCAUGAAGUUGUUGCGCACAGAAGCUUUUACUUUCUUGAAGCCAGCAAUAACUGAUAUUGGCACUGCAGUUUACAAGGAUUUUGUAUAGAACAAUUUACAAGAAAAUUAGUAAUGGGAAAACAUAACAUACAAUUUCUCUUCCUAACUGCUAGCUGGAGGCUAGAAAUAAUAUUCCUACACACCAAACACGCAGAGGCCAAGGGGACAAAACACCAAUAAGAAUGUGUAGAUUCCACCAUCCUAAUCUAGCUAAAAUACAAAUAUAAAACUCACCAUACCCCUCAAGAUCUUUGGUGAUGAAUCUCAUCAAAUGUUCUGUGGUAGCCAGGUUUAUAUCGCUAAAAAAGUACUCCACCUACAAAAUUACAAUACAGAAAUUGCACCUGGUGUUAAUAAAAUGUACAAGUAAAAGCAAACAGAAAAGAAGGAAAAUGUUGCCCUAAAACAAGCAAACAGUAAUAUCAUUGCUCCAUGUCCUGUACUUGAUCCUCUUUAGCACUACAAAUAAUUUUACAAUCUAGUUGAUACUGUCUAAAGAAAAAUACAGAUGCAGUUAUAAUUCACAAAAUCACUUGAAGGGAAGACUAACAUGAAUUUCAGAAUGCUCAGUUCAGUAGCCAAAUGCAUGAUCUCAGAUUCUCACAUAACUUGGGAAAAUGGCAAGUACCAAGCACCCCAGCACUGCGAUAUCUUGGUUGCUAAUGUUCGCCUCUGGAUAAAAUUGAAAUGUAGUAAUCCUCGAUUCCUUCAAUUUUAUCAGAUUAGAAGCAACAGAGGGGUAUUUUUCUUAUUGUGUAAAUCUGAAGUUCAUUCAUUGUAAAUCUGAAGCCACUCCAAUCUGACAAUACUUCAAGUCACUUUUCCUGAGCUGCUUAUAGAACUGUAACUUCAGCAAGAACUGGAACAACUAAGAAGACAACGGUUGUUGUUGCACCUGCAUUUGUCUGCAAUAAUCGUGCUGAUAAGAGAGGAGGCUGAUAAAAGAGGAGAGGUUGCUACUUUCAAAACAAGGUUAUGGAAGAUUUCUGUUUCAAGUGAAAAACAUGAAAGUGAAAGCUCUCAUGUUUGAUUCCAGGCCUAAUUUUGAUAGUGUCUUUCUGAUCGAGUCCAGUAGAAUGAUUUUGGUACUAUAUAUAGGUUUGUAGCAAAAUAUAUACUGAAAGUGUACUUUGUGACUUGAGAUUGGGCUAUUUGAAUUUUGGAUGUCACACUGUUGAUACUGAAAGUAUACUUUGUGUUGAGAUUGGGCUAAGCUGGGCCUAGUUCUUUUUAAUUUUGGGUUGUAAAAUCUAUGGGGAAAAAAUAAAUUUCAAGGAGUUGGCCUUGUAGUGGGCUCAGCCAGCCCAUAAAUA